UUUUUGCUAAAAGAACCCCAAAUGUCUAUAAAGAGUUUGGUUUGUCUGCAAUGUUGGAUAUCAAACUUGAAAAUAAUUUAGACUAUAGCAUGCUUGUUAUAUUAUAUUGCUUUUCAUUAGCGAUGUAGUUAGUUAAUUUACUUUGUUUCCUGUUAAAUCUUUCGUCGUAUAUCUACAACUGGUAUAGAGUCUCUGAUUAAAGUUAUACUAUCUUUCUAGGCGACUAAUACAUAAACUCUUUUA